UACGGGGGGGGCAAGCGUUGUUCGGAAUUACUGGGCGUAAAGGGCUCGUAGGUGGCCAACUAAGUCAGACGUGAAAUCCCUCGGCUUAACCGGGGAACUGCGUCUGAUACUGGAUGGCUUGAGGUUGGGAGAGGGAUGCGGAAUUCCAGGUGUAGCGGUGAAAUGCGUAGAUAUCUGGAGGAACACCGGUGGCGAAGGCGGCAUCCUGGACCAAUUCUGACACUGAGGAGCGAAAGCCAGGGGAGCAAAGCGGG
rnacentral:rRNA from 1 species